UCGAAUUUUUAUUCUCGUAAAACUGCAAAAUCGUUCUCGUCACUUUUCCUUGUCCUAUCCUCCCUCUCCUCUUCUCCAAUCACUAUCUAUCCUAGAUCUCAAUCCCCAUCCUCGUUGACCCAGUCUUAGCUCUCUGUCAGUUUCUCUAGCCUCUACCCUCAACCUCCAGCCUCGACAUCCCCAAUUCCAGUCUCGUCGCCUCUUCCUUGCCGGCCCGUCGCACUUUCUUGUCUCUUUCUUGUUGGUCUUUUGCGUCUUUAUCACCUCCUCCUCGUCAGUUUCUAUGUCUGAUCAACAGAUCUCAGUUUCAGAUGGAGAUAUUUCAAGUAAUAACAUUUAAUUUGGAUUCUUGGUUUAUGAUUUUGGUUUAUGGCUUUCAUUUCUUGGUUUAUUAUGAUGUUGCUCUAUUUUUGAGUUUAUUCUGAUGGGUUUAUUAUGAGUUUCUAUAAGCCAAACACUAGCCACUUGAGGCUUUCACUUUAUGGCUCUUUGCCCUUCAAAAUUCAACUCUGUCUAUUCAAGCACAUUGCUGUGUCGAUUCAAGCACGUUGCUGUGUUCGGCUCUGUUUCAUUCUACUUCUGCUAAUUGCUUGUUGGUAUUUUUUUUGAAUUAAUUUCCAUGGCUUCUUCGCACCCAAAGAAUGUGAGAAUCCUUGAUAUUUCAAGAUAAAAUUCCAAUUUUAACGGUUUUGAUUUGUGGGGUGUUGUGUGAUUCUGAUGCAGGAAGCUUUGGAGGCUCACAAUGGACCUGCAAAGAAAAAUACACUAUUGGGCUUGGACAGGAUUGCUUGGCAUUCUACAAUGAGGUAUUGAUUCAACAAAUGCAUGCUAUGGUGGAACAACAGCUAUAUUCAAUUGCGUGAAUUGGGUGGAUAGUAGUUCAUGGGAUGGUCGCUAUGGACUUGUCAUAUGUGCAGAUAAUGUGGUUGUUGAUGGAAAAUUCUCGCAGAAUUGUUUUCUCAUGGCACUUGAUUCUUUCUACAAGGUUUUCUGUGAGAAAUUCGAAAAGUUGGAGGGGAAACCCUUUUCAAUGGCUGAAGCUAAUUACUUUGUGUUUCAUUCUCCAUAUAACAAGCUUGUCCAAAAAAGCUUUGGUCGGCUAUUCUACAAUGACUUCCUGAGAGUUGAGAACGGUGACAACCAAAUUGGCAAUCUUAUACUAUAUUUGAUUAAAUUGGUUUUAUUUUUUUAUGAAUCUUUUAAUCUUAAUGUAAAUUUUAUGACUAAUUUUGUGAGAAUGACAUAGUAGAAGAUUAUUUUAAAAUAGAUGUAUUUGAUUAACUUCUUUGAUAUAAUGAAUGUUUGAAUCUGUUCUGGCUUUUUUUUUAAUAUUG